CGUGUGCUCUCCCGAUCUCUCGGGCUGCUUGCAGGUGGCAUUCACAGGCGUCGUUUCGGUUCGCCUGAAUUAAACUUUUU